CUGAGACAGAGAGAGAGCAUCUGUGAGCCAAAUUCACCGGUGCUGGGUUUUAAGGAGAAGAGCCACGAGUGACACGUGGAGGAGUCCCAGAGGCUUAGUGGUAUAGAUCCACUGUCUCUUUUGGAUAUUUAAUUUAUGAUUUAUAAUGUGUUAUAUUGUCAAUAUUAGGGCUUUUUGUUUAUUGUCAAUUAUAUGAAUAUAUAAAUGUAAUCAUGCCUUUCAAACUAUUUCUAUUUUUGGUACAAUUUGGA